UUUAUGGAGAGUUUGAUCCUGGCUCAGGACGAACGCUGGCGGCGUGCCUAAUACAUGCAAGUCGAGCGAACAGAGAAGGAGCUUGCUCCUUUGACGUUAGCGGCGGACGGGUGAGUAACACGUGGGCAACCUACCCUAUAGUUUGGGAUAACUCCGGGAAACCGGGGCUAAUACCGAAUAAUCUAUUGUCCCUCAUGGGACAAUACUGAAAGACGGUUUCGGC
rnacentral:rRNA from 1 species